rnacentral:ncRNA from 1 species
AUGGAGUAUUCCGAAAAUCCAGAACAGAGUAGGAA